CGUAGGCGGCUUGUUAAGCGAGAUGUGAAAACCGGGGGCUCAACCCGCGGCCUGCAUCUCGAACUGGCAGACUUGAGUCUGGUAGAGGAAAGUGGAAUUCCUGGUGUAGCGGUGAAAUGCGCAGAUAUCAGGAGGAACACCGGUGGCGAAGGCGGCUUUCUGGGCCACGACUGACGCUGAGGCGCGAAAGCUAGGGGAGCAAACA
rnacentral:rRNA from 1 species